UACGUAGGUGGCGAGCGUUGUCCGGAAUUACUGGGUGUAAAGGGUGCGUAGGCGGGCAGGCAAGUUGGAUGUGAAAUACCGGGGCUUAACUCCGGGGCUGCAUCCAAAACUGCAGGUCUUGAGUGAAGUAGAGGCAAGCGGAAUUCCCAGUGUAGCGGUGAAAUGCGUAGAGAUUGGGAGGAACACCAGUGGCGAAGGCGGCUUGCUGGGCUUUAACUGACGCUGAGGCACGAAAGCAUGGGGAGCGAACAGGAUUAGAUACCCUGGUAGUCCAUGCCGUAAACGAUGGAUACUAGGUGUGGGGGGACUGACCCCCUCCGUGCCGGAGUUAACACAAUAAGUAUCCCACCUGGGGAGUACGGCCGCAAGGUUGAAACUCAAAGGAAUUGACGGGGGCCCGCACAAGCAGUGGAGUAUGUGGUUUAAUUCGAAGCAACGCGAAGAACCUUACCAGGUCUUGACAUCCCAAGAAUCCUGUAGAGAUACGGGAGUGCCUUCGGGAGCUUGGAGACAGGUGGUGCAUGGUU
rnacentral:rRNA from 1 species